GUUAGACGCGAAAACGAACAUCUAUAACAAUUACCAACUUAUAACAAAGAAAAGGUCCGAAAUCGGGCCUUUUCUUUUUGCGUUUCCUCGCGUGGUUUAUCCCGGAGGAACUUCUUUCAUCCGCAGUGAAGCCAAAGGACCAGUUUGGAGUGUAGGAAAGUUGGUUGGUGUGCCGAUAACCAGCUUAGUUCCGCCCGCCAUCUUGGAGCGUCCGUUCCAACAAUAGCAUCGACGCCAUUUUGAAAUUUCGGCCAUUGCAACAUCUCUACGGCUUCCUUCCCGCUUUCAACGUUCGGUCAGUCGGAUUAAGACCAAUCCCGA